rnacentral:rRNA from 1 species
UGCAUGGGGUGCAAACGUUGCUCGGAAUUAUUGGGCGUAAAGCGCGCGUAGGCGGUUACUCAAGUCGGAUGUGAAAGCCCUCGGCUUAACUGAGGAAGUGCACCCGAAACUGAGUAGCUAGAGUACUAAAGAGGGUCGCGGAAUUCCCGGUGUAGAGGUGAAAUUCGUAGAUAUCGGGAGGAACACCGGUGGCGAAGGCGGCGACCUGGGUAGAUACUGACGCUGAGGCGCGAAAGCGUGGGGAGCAAACAGG